rnacentral:tRNA from 1 species
GCCUGGGUGGCUCAGUCGGUUAAGCGUCUGACUUGAUUUUAGCUCUGGUCUCACGAUUUACGGGUUCAAGCCCCGUAUUGGGCU